GACGAACGCUGGCGGCGUGCUUAACACAUGCAAGUCGAACAGAAAGGCCCUGCUUUUGUGGGGUGCUCGAGUGGCGAACGGGUGAGUAACACGUGAGUAACCUGCCCUUGACUUUGAGAUAACUUCAGGAAACUGGGGCUAAUACCGGAUAGGAGCUCCUGCUGCAUGGUGGGGGUUGGAAAGUUUCGGCGGUUGGGGAUGGACUCGCGGCUUAUCAGCUUGUUGGUGGGGUAGUGGCUUACCAAGGCUUUGACGGGUAGCCGGCCUGAGAGGGUGACCGGCCACAUUGGGACUGAGAUACGGCCCAGACUCCUACGGGAGGCAGCAGUGGGGAAUAUUGCACAAUGGGCGGAAGCCUGAUGCAGCAACGCCGCGUGCGGGAUGACGGCCUUCGGGUUGUAAACCGCUUUCGCCUGUGACGAAGCGUGAGUGACGGUAAUGGGUAAAGAAGCACCGGCUAACUACGUG
rnacentral:rRNA from 1 species